CGUGGGGGCGGAGCCCGCGGCAGGGAGCGCGAGAGCCACGCCACGCGGCUCCCGUGGAGGGAGCCCUGCUUUGCUGCUUGCUGAAGCGGAAGUCACCGAGUUCCGGAGAUGCUUAUUAUUCCCCGUCUUCACUACCGAAAGGACGCCUGCAACACGGGCGCAUAAACUAUCUGAAUAGAAGGGAAAACAGUAGCAACAGCAAAAGAAAGAAACGCAGGGUCCCGAGUGAGGUCAGUGCACAAAAGCCCCGACGCCCCACGUCCCUGCCUCGUACAGGCCACACGUCUGCUCGUGGGAUUACUCCAACACGUGAAGGAUGAUUCUUUUAAAAAUUAUACUUCACUCAAGUUUGCUCCCUGCUAAGCUUUUUAUGAUGUCAUUUAACUCUAUGACAACCUGCAGGCCGAUAUUCUUACUGCUACCUUACAAACGAAGGAGCUCAGGUUCGGAAACAGCAAGGAGCUUGUCCAGGGCCGCACAGCGCGCGGGAGACGCAGCAGGACGGAAGCGGGUCCCAGAGCCCCAGCGCCUCGCCGUGGCCUUCACAAGGCCGCAGCGCCGAGGAAGCCAGCGCGGGGGUGGCCGGCCGCGGCCUCCUGGGGAGGCAGUUUACCUUCUUCACCGCCCCCAGUUAGGACGCGGAGGGGAGUGAGAAGACACCCUGCAGGGGAACUGGCAUGGAUUCUGCGAUGGCCACCUGGGCUCACGUGUCGGCCCCGCUUCUCACCAGCGACGCCCCUUGGACCAACGACUCAUCCUACCUGAGCCUCCGCUUCCCCGAUUGUAGAAAUGGGGCAACAGCAGGAACCCGGCAGAGGCAGUCAUGGGUCAACGACAGAACAUGUGGAAGAGGCGGGCCUGGUGCCAGCACCAGACACAGAGCUCGGUGGGCACCCACGUCUGGGAAACACGCAGGCCAGCUACACACACGGCAGUGGCGACUCCACCGGAGCAUGGCUUGCCCCGCGUGUGCCACGCCGUGCCAUGCCUGCGCCUUGUUGGCCACUGUGGCCACCGCCAGGAAGAGAACUGGGUCUUUCAAGCCUGGGGAAAUCCAGCUCUAAGGAGACAAAAUAAAGGAGCAGAAGAGACACAGGGCAGGAGACAGAAGAAAGUGUGAAAGGAGGAGAGAGAAGAAAACGGAAGACGACGACAAAAGAAACUACUGGGUUGCAGCCCACAGUCUAUUUCUUUCAGCUCUAUGUAAAAGGUGGUAUCUUUUAGGGCUCCGAAGACACAAACGAGCAUAACUUUCAGAACCAAUAUUAGAAAAAAUCCUAAGACCCAUCAAUUCUCAACUAGCUGAGGGCGGAUCGUUGCUGUAACGAAUGCCCGCUGUGGACUCAGGAGCGUGGUUAGCCCACGGGGGCCACGAGACAGGUUUGAUGUCAGUGGAGGUGCCCGGCCAGUCUCCAAUCACAGGACCACCGUGCCAUCUAAACAGCUCCUGGAAGAUUUAUGGCGCUGUUGCCAGUCAAUUAGCCUGAGCAAAAGGCCAAGUAACUGUCCCAGCUCAACCCUCAACGGUGCCUGGAAAACAGACCUCAGUGAGCCGACCGGCCCCAGUCCCAGCACUAGCUGUAAACACGGUUCUUGGCAAUUCUUCAGCUCUCCAUUUCUUUAUUUACAAAUUGAGAAGUUUGUGCCCUAUCUUCUAUAAUUCUUCCCUCGUCCUGUUGCACGCUUCCUCUCCACCUCCCCAGCACAAACGGAGGUCACUGCAGGGCUCCCCACCCCGCUGGGCUCCCCUGCCGUGGGAGGACCGCAGGGCUGCAGGGCUUCCCGCCACGAGGACGGGCCUCUGCCUCGUGGACAAGAGGCUGGCACCCUGGGGAGACCGAGAGCAAAUUGGUGUUUGUUGUACGUUCAUCAGCAACUUCGCUGCCAGGGCAGAGAAUAUCAAAACACAGAGGCCCUGGCAGAAGCCCCAGCGCCGGGGUCACACCCGCCUGGUCUGUGACAGGCCAUGGGCUGACAGAGAGGGCUUCCUGUCGACAGGAAGUAAAGGAUGGAGAUCGCAUUAUUUUCAAAGUAGGUAGUGGAAGAAAGAGAUGAGUGAGAUUCCAAUUAA